UUUGUCUUGGAGAAUUGGAGAAUGAUAAACAGAAUUGACUUCCCUUCUAAGUUUGAUUUGAUGUAACGGUGUACACGCACAUCAGAAUAUAAGAUCGUGGCUUGUUCCUGUGACUGAGUCAAUUGAUUCGCCAAGAUGCCUGUAUCACUUAGUGAAUGGAGGGUCCGAAUCGGAACAUUUGUUCAUUGGAUUAGGGAGUAUGAGGUUAAGGAGAGGAGAGAAAGAUUGCUGAAAGAAAGGAUUCGAAGACUGAAGGUUCUUUGCGAGAGACUUGAAG